UGGCGGACGGGUGAGUAAUGCUUAGGAAUCUGCCUAUUAGUGGGGGACAACAUUCCGAAAGGAAUGCUAAUACCGCAUACGUCCUACGGGGGAAAGCAGGGGAUCUUCGGACCUUGCGCUAAUAGAUGAGCCUAAGUCGGAUUAGCUAGUUGGUGGGGUAAAGGCCUACCAAGGCGACGAUCUGUAGCGGGUCUGAGAGGAUGAUCCGCCACACUGGGACUGAGACACGGCCCAGACUCCUACGGGAGGCAGCAGUGGGGAAUAUUGGACAAUGGGGGGAACCCUGAUCCAGCCAUGCCGCGUGUGUGAAGAAGGCCUUUUGGUUGUAAAGCACUUUAAGCGAGGAGGAGGCUCCUUUAGUUAAUACCUAAAGAGAGUGGACGUUACUCGCAGAAUAAGCACCGGCUAACUCUGUGCCAGCAGCCGCGGUAAUACAGAGGGUGCGAGCGUUAAUCGGAUUUACUGGGCGUAAAGCGUGCGUAGGCGGCUUUUUAAGUCGGAUGUGAAAUCCCUGAGCUUAACUUAGGAAUUGCAUUCGAUACUGGAAAGCUAGAGUAUGGGAGAGGAUGGUAGAAUUCCAGGUGUAGCGGUGAAAUGCGUAGAGAUCUGGAGGAAUACCGAUGGCGAAGGCAGCCAUCUGGCCUAAUACUGACGCUGAGGUACGAAAGCAUGGGGAGCAAACAGGAUUAGAUACCCUGGUAGUCCAUGCCGUAAAC
rnacentral:rRNA from 1 species